rnacentral:rRNA from 1 species
UGGGGAAUCUUGCACAAUGGGGGCAACCCUGAUGCAGCGACGCCGCGUGAGCGAUGAAGCCCUUCGGGGCGUAAAGCUCUUUCGACCGGAACGAUAAUGACGGUACCGGGAGAAGAAGCUGCGGCUAACUACGUGCCAGCAGCCGCGGUAAUACGUAGGCAGCAAGCGUUGUUCGGAGUUACUGGGCGUAAAGCGUACGUAGGCGGAUGCGCAAGUUGGGGGUGAAAUCCCGGGGCUUAACCUCGGAAUUGCCCUCAAAACUGCACGUCUUGAGACCGAGAGAGGUAAGGGGAAUUCCUAGUGUAGAGGUGAAAUUCGUAGAUAUUAGGAAGAACACCAGUGGCGAAGGCGCCUUACUGGCUCGGUACUGACGCUGAGGUACGAAAGCGUGGGGAGCAAACA